rnacentral:rRNA from 1 species
AUUGAACGCUGGCGGAAUGCUUUACACAUGCAAGUCGAACGGCAGCACGGACUUCGGUCUGGUGGCGAGUGGCGAACGGGUGAGUAAUGUAUCGGAACGUGCCCAGUCGUGGGGGAUAACGUAGUGAAAAUUACGCUAAUACCGCAUACGAUCUAUGGAUGAAAGCGGGGGAUCGCAAGACCUCGCGCGAUUGGAGCGGCCGAUAUCAGAUUAGGUAGUUGGUGGGGUAAAGGCCCACCAGGCCAACGAUCUGUAGCUGGUCUGAGAGGACGACCAGCCACACUGGAACUGAGACACGGUCCAGACUCCUACGGGAGGCAGCAGUGGGGAAUUUUGGACAAUGGGCGAAAGCCUGAUCCGGCCAUUCCGCGUGCAGGAUGAAGGCCCUCGGGUUGUAAACUGCUUUUGUACAGAACGAAAAGGUUUCUGCUAAUACUAGGAGCUCAUGACGGUACUGUAAGAAUAAGCACCGGCUAACUACGUGCCAGCCGCCGCAGUAA